ACUUUAUAAGCCGGAUCACCACUGCUACGUCUCAUUUCGUUCGUUUCGUUUGCGACAGACAGCUACAUUCAAAAAAGAAAAUAUGAAAUCGAUAAUCCCACUGUGUCUACUUGCCCUGUCUGUGGCCCAGGACACCCAGGAUGAAGAGGAUAAACUUCUCCCGUACACAGUAAAAUAACGCUCAAUAACAACCUUAUUUACAAAAAUAGGCUUACGUUUUGGCUGUGUUGUACAUCAGCAUGGAAUUGGUAGAAUCCAGUGCUAGUUUUUAAUGUAAAGCGCGAGUAUUGUCGUCAAGUACAAACGCCAGAUAUUGUGUGUCAUAAUCACAUCUCUAGUACUGUAUAAAUGAAAUCUGAGUGGCUUUUUAAUUCCCAUAAUUUGGAAAUUCAGUUUUGAGCGUUGUUUUAUUGUGAACAGUGUUAUGUGUACGAAGUAAAUGCCACGAUUGAUUAUUACCGCAAGACUGAGUCAAACACUACCUCCCACCAUUUCGUCUUCAACGAAAACGGCACCAUGUAUGAAGCUGAUGGCUAUAUCAUAAACGAAGACAGCGACGGUGAACACCUGAAAGUAUUUGGUUUAGUUUAUUCCAAAAAGGACGAGGACAAAGCACAAAUACCAUGCCAUUUUGAGGAUUACUACCGCCAGUAUUUUGAAGAUAAGAAGGGAUAUACACCUGAUCUCACAUGGCAAUGCUCAAUAAUUUUGAGUGCUCCUGCCAGUCUUCUUCAAAGUCUUGUUCUCGGAAAAUAGAUGCAGUUUGUUUUUUUAAUUAAACACACCUUACUAUAAUA